rnacentral:rRNA from 1 species
UACAGGGGGUGCAAACGUUGCUCGGAAUUAUUGGGCGUAAAGCGCGCGUAGGCGGCUACUUAAGUCGGAUGUGAAAGCCCCUGGCUCAACUGGGGAAGUGCACCCGAAACUGAGUGGCUUGAGUGCGAAAGAGGGUCGCGGAAUUCCCGGUGUAGAGGUGAAAUUCGUAGAUAUCGGGAGGAACACCGGUGGCGAAGGCGGCGACCUGGGUCGACACUGACGCUGAGGCGCGAAAGCCAGGGGAGCGAACGGG